GACGAACGCUGGCGGCGUGCUUAACACAUGCAAGUCGAACGGAAAGGCCCUGCUUUUGUGGGGUGCUCGAGUGGCGAACGGGUGAGUAACACGUGAGUAACCUGCCCUUGACUUUGGGAUAACUUCAGGAAACUGGGGCUAAUACCGGAUAGGAGCUCCUGCUGCAUGGUGGGGGUUGGAAAGUUUCGGCGGUUGGGGAUGGACUCGCGGCUUAUCAGCUUGUUGGUGGGGUAGUGGCUUACCAAGGCUUUGACGGGUAGCCGGCCUGAGAGGGUGACCGGCCACAUUGGGACUGAGAUACGGCCCAGACUCCUACGGGAGGCAGCAGUGGGGAAUAUUGCACAAUGGGCGGAAGCCUGAUGCAGCAACGCCGCGUGCGGGAUGACGGCCUUCGGGUUGUAAACCGCUUUCGCCUGUGACGAAGCGUGAGUGACGGUAAUGGGUAAAGAAGCACCAGCUAACUACGU
rnacentral:rRNA from 1 species